CCUCAAUGUCAAUGGUUAUGUACAAGCAGAAGUGACAAGAUUGAGGUAAAUAAUGUGUCCAAAACAACAAGCAAUGGAACUGGGGAAGGGUCUGGAGCACAAGUCUGAUGAGGAGCAGCCAAAGGAGCUACAGUUGUUUAACCUGGAGGAAAGGAAGCUUAGGAAGGACCUGCUCACACUCUACAACUCACUGAAAGGACUGUCAUCUCGGAGUAAAGGCAUCACAGAGGUCUCAUGUGCCUGAGUGAUGCUGAAGUCUAUCGCCCAGUUUUCUGCUUAAGUUGAGGAGAAAAGUCUUCUGAACUGCUUCUGAGAGCACUUUAUGAAAUAGUUUGGGGACAAAUUAAAGGAGAACAUGAUCAGAACUGGAAGAGGUUGUACUGAAGCAAAUGAAAUCGGAAAGUCUGCUACUCAGAGGAUGAAGAGAACUAUGGACACAAAUGCUGUGGGGGGCUGUCUGAAAUUCCGAGAAGAUUGGAUUAUUUCCAGUUAACCUCAAUGGAAAACAAAAGCUGUCUGCAUUAAGUGCCUGAAACAUUAGCCAUGAAAUCCUAUUUGUUUGCCUUCUGUCAUGGUUUGGUUCUUGGUCUUUGUAUCACACAUGAGCUGAGGGUUUUAACACUUAUUACAAGGGUUCAUUCUAUUAUGGUCAGUAUUUUGACCAUAUUGUUUGUGAUUUAGUGGCAGUACUAGUUAUAUCUCAUAGGAAAAAGGUUGCAGAGAGUGAUUUUUGAAAGAAACUUUCCUUGUUAAGGAAGCAUUUUUGUAUCAGCCUCUAUGUCUGUGACUUUGUGUGUACAUUGUUAUAUACACAGUCUUGCACUUCAGAUAUUUUUCAGAAGCCAAUUUCAUUUAUCUCCUGAAUUUGUCAAAUGGUCAAACAGGGUUUGAGGAAGAUUCACCUUUGUGUCUUUAAACAAAACCUAGAAUAUACAUAGUGCUCCAUUUUGCAUUUGUUGUUCAGGCAAUAAUUAGUUAUCAGAAUGAAUACUAAAGGAUACAGAAAAUAAUGAAAAAAAGUGGACAGCAGGAUGGUUUGUUAUCAUUGUUGUUAUUGUUAUGGUUAUUCUUGUUAUUAUUCCUCCCAUGUCUAUUUAUAUUUAAGGUUUUUUCCCCAAUGUACAUAAAAUGCACCUUUG